rnacentral:rRNA from 1 species
AAUGAACGCUGGCGGCAGGCCUAACACAUGCAAGUCGAACGGAUCCUUCGGGAUUAGUGGCGGACGGGUGAGUAACGCGUGGGAACAUACCCUUUGGUACGGAAUAGCCUCGGGAAACUGGGAGUAAUACCGUAUGUGGUCGAGAGACGAAAGAUUUAUCGCCAAAGGAUUGGCCCGCGUUGGAUUAGGUAGUUGGUGGGGUAAUGGCCUACCAAGCCGACGAUCCAUAGCUGGUUUGAGAGGAUGAUCAGCCACACUGGGACUGAGACACGGCCCAGACUCCUACGGGAGGCAGCAGUGGGGAAUCUUAGACAAUGGGGGAAACCCUGAUCUAGCCAUGCCGCGUGAUCGAUGAAGGCCUUAGGGUUGUAAAGAUCUUUCAGGUGGGAAGAUAAUGACUGUACCACCAGAAGAAGCCCCCGGCUAACUCCGUGCCAGCCGCCGCAGUAA